rnacentral:rRNA from 1 species
UACGGAGGGGGUUAGCGUUGUUCGGAAUUACUGGGCGUAAAGCGCACGUAGGCGGAUUGGAAAGUAUGGGGUGAAAUCCCAGGGCUCAACCCUGGAACUGCCUCAUAAACUUCCAGUCUAGAGUUCGAGAGAGGUGAGUGGAAUUCCGAGUGUAGAGGUGAAAUUCGUAGAUAUUCGGAGGAACACCAGUGGCGAAGGCGGCUCACUGGCUCGAUACUGACGCUGAGGUGCGAAAGUGUGGGGAGCAAACAGG